rnacentral:rRNA from 1 species
UACGGAGGGUGCAAGCGUUAUCCGGAUUCACUGGGUUUAAAGGGUGCGUAGGUGGGCAGGUAAGUCCGUGGUGAAAUCUCUGAGCUUAACUCAGAAACUGCCGUGGAUACUAUUUGUCUUGAAUAUUGUGGAGGUGAGCGGAAUAUGUCAUGUAGCGGUGAAAUGCUUAGAUAUGACAUAGAACACCAAUUGCGAAGGCAGCUGGCUACGCAUAUAUUGACACUGAGGCACGAAAGCGUGGGGAUCAAACAGG